UCCUGGCUCAGAUUGAACGCUGGCGGCAUGCCUUACACAUGCAAGUCGAACGGCAGCACGGGGGCAACCCUGGUGGCGAGUGGCGAACGGGUGAGUAAUACAUCGGAACGUGUCCUGUAGUGGGGGAUAGCCCGGCGAAAGCCGGAUUAAUACCGCAUACGAUCUACGGAAGAAAGCGGGGGAUCGCAAGACCUCGCGCUAUAGGGGCGGCCGAUGGCAGAUUAGCUAGUUGGUGGGGUAAAGGCCUACCAAGGCGACGAUCUGUAGCUGGUCUGAGAGGACGACCAGCCACACUGGGACUGAGACACGGCCCAGACUCCUACGGGAGGCAGCAGUGGGGAAUUUUGGACAAUGGGGGAAACCCUGAUCCAGCAAUGCCGCGUGUGUGAAGAAGGCCUUCGGGUUGUAAAGCACUUUUGUCCGGAAAGAAAACUUCUGGGCUAAUACCCUGAGGGGAUGACGGUACCGGAAGAAUAAGCACCGGCU
rnacentral:rRNA from 1 species